AACGAACGCUGGCGGCAUGCCUAACACAUGCAAGUCGAACGAGACCUUCGGGUCUAGUGGCGCACGGGUGCGUAACGCGUGGGAACCUGCCCUUAGGUUCGGAAUAACUCCCCGAAAGGGGUGCUAAUACCGGAUAAUGUCUUCGGACCAAAGAUUUAUCGCCUUUGGAUGGGCCCGCGUUGGAUUAGCUAGUUGGUAGGGUAAAAGCCUACCAAGGCGACGAUCCAUAGCUGGUCUGAGAGGAUGAUCAGCCACACUGGGACUGAGACACGGCCCAGACUCCUACGGGAGGCAGCAGUGGAGAAUAUUGGACAAUGGGCGAAAGCCUGAUCCAGCAAUGCCGCGUGAGUGAUGAAGGCCUUAGUGUUGUAAAGCUCUUUUACCCGGGAUGAUAAUGACAGUACCGGGAGAAUAAGCUCCGGCUAACUCCGUG
rnacentral:rRNA from 1 species